CUGGAUGCUGUGUGUGUUGUUAAUUCGCCCCCACCACUUUGAGCAUCGUGACGUCUGAGGGAUCUGUAGUGGAUUACUCACUCAGGUCAUUGACUCUGUCGGACACACAUUUGCUGUGUUCUUGAAAGAGGGGAAACAACACCCAGGUGGCGGAAAGGUUCAGCCACAAGUUCAAGUGGACAUGAAGAGGAUGUUUCCAAUCAUGGAAGAGUCUAGGACCAAGGAACACAGCCUCAGUAUUCAAAGCAAAUCCCUUUAGAACAGAGAUGAGAAGGAAUUUCUUUAGCCAGAAGGUGGUGAAUCUGUGGAAUGCAUUGCCAAAAACAGCUGUGGAGGCCAAGUCAUUGGACACAUUUGAAGUGGAGCUUGAUAAGGUUAUGAAAAGAUGGCGCCAGUGGUUUUUGCAGAUCCAGGCUUGGUGAAGAAACAACACACACACACACAGGAAUUCAGCAGGUCAGGCAGAAAAACUGGCUGGUGAAGAGCUUCUGACAAAGAUGAUGUUAACAAAACACUGUUUUGGUAGUGUUGAACGCCUUGUUGGUGGAGGUUGGUACAUUCCAUGCAUACUUCUCCAGCUUGGAGUAUUUGAUGUCCGUUGCAACACAGACAGAGGCCACUUGGCCCAUGAAAUCUACAUACAGCACAAACCAGGCCCUUCCAGCUCUUUGAGCCCUGAUGCCCAGCAACCGCUGAUUUAACCCUAGCCUAAUCACGGGACAAUUUUCAAUGACCAAUUAACCUGUAAAGAAAUCAGAGCAUCCAGAGGAAAACCCUGCAGUCACAGGGAGAAUGUACAAACUCCUUACAGGCUGCUGGCAAUCCCAUACAUCCCAUCCCCUCCCCUGCCCAAGAUCGCUAACAAUCGCAGAGUUAUACAGAGUGCAGUCCGUCACACAAACCAGCCUCCUCUCUACUGAUUCCAUUGACAAGUUCAAGCUGUAAUUUUAUUAUCAAAGUACGUAAAUGUCACCACAUAACUACCCUGAGAUUCAAUUUCUUGUGAGAUUCACAGUAGAUACAAAGAAAUACAAUAGAAUCAAUGAAAAACUACACACAUAGACAACCAAUGUGCAAAAGAAGUCAGACUGUGCAAAUACAGAGGAAAAAUACAAAUAAUAAACAUAAAUAGUAAAUAAAUAAUUACUGAGAACAUGAGUUGUAGAGUCCUUGAAAGUGAGUCUGUAGUUUGUGGAAUCAGUUCGGAGUUAAGGUGAAUGAAGUUAUUCACACUGGUUCAAGAGCCUGAUGGUUGCAGGUAAUAGUUGUUCCUGAACAUGGUGGUGUGGGAACUAAAGCUCCUGUACCUCCUUCCCAAUGGCAGCAGCAAGAAGAGAGCAUGGCCUGGGUGGUGGAGAUGCUGCUUUCUUGUGGCAGUCCUCAAUGCAGAUGUGUUCACUGGUGGCGGUGGCUUUUCCUGAUGGACUGGGCUGUAUCUACCACAUUUUGUAGGCUUUUCGACUCACAGGCAUUGGUGUUUCCAUGCCAGGCUGAGAUGCAACCAGUCAGGAUAGUCUCCAAUGUGCAUCUACAAAAGUUUGUCAAAGUUUUAGAUGACAUGUCAAACUUUUAAGAAAGUAGAGGCACUUUCUUUGUCAUGGCACUUUCCAUUGCCACAGAAAAUAGUACAAUCAAGAACUCCUCCCAUCCUGGCCAAUUUCUCUGCUCCUCUCUCCCUUCGAGCAGAAGAUAGAGAACCCUGAAACCAUGUACCUCCAGGAUCAAGGACAACUUCUAUUCAAUUCAUGCAAUGAACCCUUGGUCUCACUCUGGCCCUCGAACUUCACUUGUCCACUGACACGGCACCAUCUCCGUAACCGCCACACUACUUCUGCAUUCUGAGUUAUUUUCACUAAUCGCUUUACAGUGCUGGCUAUAAGAUCAGUGUUUGAUUCCCGCCACUGUCAGUAAGAAAUUCUCCCACAAUGCAUUUCACUGUAUGUUUUGAUAUACAUAUUCAAUGGUUCCAGUUAACAUCAGAGAAUAUAUACAAUAUAUAACCUUAAAUUCUUACUCUCCACAGACAUAAGACCCCAAAGAACGAAACACAGUAAAAAAUAAGAACUCCAAAGCCCCCUCUCCCCUCCCAUGCACAUGCAGUAACUCCCCUUCCUCCAUUUAUUCUAGCUGAAAGCAUCAGCACUCCUACCACCCACCAUGCAAACAUCAAAGCCCCCAAAGAGAGACCAAGGUCUACAGUACAUUAAAAGCUAACAGUUCAUUCCAACAAUUCGAUAGGCUCUCUCUAUCAUGAGCAAGGGAGAGAGAAAGAGAUAUCACUCCUUCCACAGUGCGAGGGGAGACAAACAGUCACUGUUAAGAUGUUACAGUCACAGUCAGAAGUGUCUCUUUAUUCAAGUUCCCCAACUUGAGAAUCGGCAGCAAACUUGCCCUAACACGAGAGAGAGGAGGAGAGAUCAAUCACCGAGUGCAGAGGCCUCCGACAGCUGCUCUCACUGUCUUGAAGUUCCAUCUCCUGCUAUGCUUCAGUUCACGACACUGCGACAAUUUAUGUCCACAAGGCUGUAUGCUACAGAGAAGGCUAAUCUUUAAUCAGAGUGGUUAUGCAUAGAAUGAUUUGUUUGGAUGGCAGGCAAACUAAAGUUUUUCACUGUGUCUUGGUGCAGGUGACAAUAGUAGCCACAGCCAACGUCAAUAUAAUUCUCCCAACUGCUGCAGGAUUACACCACACAGUAAGGGUGAUUUACAACAGUUAAUUAACCCACUGACCCUGCAACAUCAUUGGGAUGUGGAAGGAGGCUGGAACACCUUGGGGAAACCCCAUUUACAGGGAGAAUGUACAAACUUCACAAACAAACUAGAAUCUGAACAAACAAACCUGAAUCAUUUCUGUAUCUCUCACCACCCAGGCACCCGCCACUGUGUAAAAAAAUUGUCCCAUACAUCUCUUUUGAACUUACCCCAUCUCACCUUAAAUGCAUGUUUUCUAGUGGGAAACAUUCCAAGCCUAGGGAAAAGAUACUGGCUCUCUACGCUGUCUGUGCCUCCUAUAAUCUCAUCAGGUUUCCCUUCCCUCCAAGAGGACCACAAUCUUGUUGUAGGGUUUGGAGGUUUGCGUGCCUCAGUGACCCAGAGACCUAUGUUGGCUGGAGUCAGGACCUUAAGCUUUGGCUCUUGGUAGGGUCACCCAUGCCAAACAGGCGGUCCACUGGUCCUCCAGGUUUGGGGAUUCAACACAGGGCUAACAACCCUGAUCAAAAAACAAUUGUUAUGGAAACAGCAAUGAAGAAUCCUUCUACAUGUGUGCGUGAAGGUAUGGACAACCAGAGGUAGAGGACCAUCGUUGCUGCCCUAAAUGGUCGGUAGAUAAGUAAGGAAGGUCUCCUUUCAGCCUCCACCACUCCAGAGAAAACACCCCAAAUUUCUCCAAAUUCUCCUCAUAUCUCAUGUUGUUUAUUUAAUAUUUCAGCAAUAUCAGAGUAAUUUUGUGAAUGUAUUGUUUGAGUAAGCAUUCUUUAUUUGUUUAAGUAACACAUUACGGGUUAUAUGAAAAAUCCCAUUCAUUGCAUACGUCAUGACGCUACCAUGUAGGAAGUGCGUACCCUG